UGCCAGCCGCCGCGGUAAUACGGAGGGUGCAAGCGUUAAUCGGAAUUACUGGGCGUAAAGAGCACGUAGGCGGUCCGGCCAGUCGGAUGUGAAAGCCCCGAGCCUAACUUGGGAAUUGCAUUCGAAACUACCGGACUAGAGUAUGGGAGAGGGAAGUGGAAUUUCCGGUGUAGCGGUGAAAUGCGUAGAUAUCGGAAGGAACACCAGUGGCGAAGGCGACUUCCUGGACCAAUACUGACGCUGAGGUGCGAAAGCGUGGGGAGCAAACAGGAUUAGAUA
rnacentral:rRNA from 1 species